rnacentral:rRNA from 1 species
ACGUAGGGAGCAAGCGUUAAUCGGAAUUACUGGGCGUAAAGCGUGCGCAGGCGGCUAUGCAAGACCGAUGUGAAAUCCCCGGGCUCAACCUGGGAACUGCAUUAGUGACUGCAUAGCUGGAGUGCGGCAGAGGGGGAUGGAAUUCCGCGUGUAGCAUUGAAAUGCGUAGAUAUGCGGAGGAACACCGAUGGCGAAGGCAAUCCCCUGGGCCUGCACUGACGCUCAUGCACGAAUGCGUGGGGAGCAAACAG